rnacentral:rRNA from 1 species
AUUGAACGCUGGCGGCAGGCUUAAGAAAUGCAAGCCGAGAGGAGCGGCGGCAGGGUGAGUAAUGCCUAGUAAUCUGCAUGGUAGUGGGGGAUAACGUCCGGAAACGGGCGCUAAUACCGCAUACUAUCAGAUGAGCCUUGUGCGGAUUCGCUAGUUGGUGGGGUCAAGGCAUACCAAGGCGACGAUCCGUGACUGGUCUGAGAGGAUGAUCAGUCACACUGGAAGUGAGUCACGUUCCAGACUCCUACGGGUGGCCGCAGUGCGGAAUAUUGGUCAAGGGAGGAAAGCCUGAUCCAGCCGUGCGGCGUGAGCAGAGAAAGUAUUCGGUCUGUAAAGCACUUUAAGUGAGGAGUCGUUGCUAACAGCAUAAACAUCGGCAAACUUCGUGCCAGCAGCCGCGGUAAUUC